CCUUUCUCCUCGUCCGUUCACUUCCUCACUUCCCUAAAAAAAACCUCUUCCUCACCAUCUGGCAGAGCGCCGCCGCCGCCCCUCCCCUUCCCGGCCACCGCCGUCGUCCCGGCGCCCCACCCCUAGCUCAAGUACCGCCGCGUCCCGGUCGCCCCUCCCAUCCUCUCUAUUCCCGGCUGGCGCUCGAUUCCAGGUCUGGCCCUCGAUUUUUCCCCAUACCCGAAAUCCCCAACCAGACCAAACCCUCCGUCGUCUCCCUCGCCAGCCAUGGAGGCGGCGGCGGCCGCCGCAUCGGCUGCAGCGGCGGCUGCCAAGGACGCGGCCUUGGCCGCUUCGGUUGCAGCGGCGGCUGCUGCCAAGGACGCGGCGGCGGCGGCGGUGACUGCAAAGGAGGCGACGGAUGCCGCCAAGGACGCGGCUGCGGCGGCUUCGGCUGCGGCUUUAAACGCCAAGGAGGCAGCUGCGGCGGCCUCUGCUGCGGCUUUAAACGCCAAGGAGGCAGCCGUGAAGGCCUCUGCUGCGGCCUUGGAUGCCGAGGAGGCAGCUGCUGUGGCGGUGACUGCAGGCCAGGCGGCGACCGCUGCGGCGGCAGCUAUGCAAGCUUCCCAGAAGCGUAGGUUUGCGGAUGCGGCGUUGGAUGCCAAGGAGGCAGCGCCCGUGGCGGUGACUGCUGGGCAGGCAGCAGGGCCAAUAAAUGCCGAGGAGGCAGCGCCUUUGGCGGUGAAUGCAGGGCGGCUGGCGGCCGCUUCGGCGGUGGCGACGCAAGCUUCCAAGAAGCGUAAGUCUGCUGCUGUGGCGUUAAAUUACAAGGUGCCAGCGCCUGCGACGGUGACUGCAGUUGAGGCGACGCCGGUGCCAUUGCAAGCAUCCAACAAAUGUAAGUUCCCGAUCAUUGACGUGGACCAAGAUCCACCAGGGAGCAGAGACGUCGAUGAUGCGGGGAGUGUCGAUCACAUCGGCCGCCUCCCGGAUGCCGUUCUCUGCAGUAUCGUCUCUCUUCUCCCCACCAAGGAAGGUGCCCGCACGCAAGUCAUCUCUCGCCGAUGGCGUCCGCUAUGGCACUCCGCUCCUCUCAACCUCGUGGUGGACCAAGAACUCAACAGCAACAACCACAAUUUGGGCGACUUGAUUUCAAAGAUCCUCUCUGUGCAUCCUGGCCCCGCACGCCGCUUCUCGCUCUGCCUCUCUAGUAGCAAGUAUCAUGGCAAGAUCAAAGGCUGGCUUAGUUCCCAAGCCCUGGACAAGCUACAGGAGUUUGAGCUCAUCCCCAAGCACUGGUUUGACGUCAGGGAUACGUUCUACCUACUGCCAUUGUCCGUCUACCGCUUAGCGCCCACGCUCCGUGUGGCCAAGUUUGGCGGCUGCCGUUUCUCCGACUGGAUUGUGAAGCUGUCGCUCAAGUUUCCGUGCCUCAAGCAGCUCACCCUGGAUAGAGUCGCCAUCUCGGAGGACGCUCUCCAGAGCAUGCUCUCUGACUGCUAUGCCUUGGAGAGCCUUGAGCUAAAGAAAAAUUCUGGCUUUCGUCGCCUCUGCAUCAGCUCCCAAACUCUUAAGAGUGUAGGCUUUUGCACUAACUGGUUUAAAGAAAGUGUCCCUUUGCAAGAGUUGGUCAUCGAGGAUGCCCCGUGCCUUGAGAGAUUGCUACCACUUGUUCCACAGGUUGGCCCAAGGACCAUACGGGUAAUCUCGGCACCUAAACUGAACAUAUUGGGUGCACUCUCUACAGGCAUAACAGAACUUCAGCUUGGAACCACAGUUUUCCGGAAUAUGAUUGCUGUUGACUUGACAACCAAAAUGCACAGCGUGAGGGUGUUGGUUCUUGACUACACUAAUCUGGAUAUAGUGGUUAACUUCCUCAAGUGCUUCCCCUGCUUGGAGAGGCUGCAUGUCUUUUUCCAGUCAAGGAUGAGUUGUAUUAACCCCCAGGAGUAUGACCCACCGGAACCGAUUGAAUGCCUUGAGCUGCAUCUCAAAGAAGUACUGUUGAAGAAUUAUAAUGGCACCAUCCCUUUGUGUAUUGACUUUGCCAAGUUCUUUGUUUUGAAUGCGAAAGUGCUAAAGAAAAUGAAAAUCACAUUGCCUUACCACCGGCAGUAUAACUGGUUUGCUAAUCAACACCGGCUGCUGCGGACCAAAGAUAGAAUUUCUCAAGAUGCUCGGAUUGAACUGAGAUGCGGCAAUAAUGUUUAUUUCAGAGACAACAGGAACACCCAUGAUUUGUCAAUGGCUGAUCCUUUUGACGUGCCCUCCAGCGGAUGUAAAAAGUGUAGUGGAUCCCCAUUUUGAAGAUUGCCUUGCCUAGUGUUCAAAGCCCAACUUUAUGUCGCUGGUUUUGUUUCUAGCCUGACGCUCAAAGAAAGGAUCUACUUCACUCAGUGAUGGAAUGUUUUGUGGCCUAGUCAGAAUUAUACCUGGUGGUGGAGGAGGUGGUGUCUAAGCUCAGGCUUCAAAUCCGAACUUGCCGCUUGAAGGGGGUCGAGGCAUUGAGCAGUGCGAAUUCAGAGGUGCAGUGGCCUUGACAUAGGGGAUCAGCUUUGGCAGGAAGCUGUGAGAUCAUCAUGUGAAAGACACGAAGGAAGCUGUGAUGUUUGACGAGGACACUAGGUUUCUGGACGAAGAAGACUAAGCUGCAACUGCGAAUGUCUUGAGGUCUGAAAUGCAGUUGACAGAGAGUUGAUAUCCGCUGAGGUUUGCACCACUGGAAUCUUUGCCGAUUAAUUAAGCGAACCAGAAUUGGAUUUCGAUGCCCGGUCACUGGACCGGCAGUAUGAUUUUCAUUCCGAUGGUUUAAUUUCUCACAGUAUGCUAGUAUUUAGGUGCAGUAGAAUUCCACGGAUUUAAGGAUGAUUAUUUGAUGGGAUGCAGACAAAUUAUGCGGGUUACUUGAGGUGUGGAAUUCUAUACUAUCUCCGUAACUAAAUAUAAGACGUUUUUGCAGUUCAGUAACAUGUACAGGCAUGGGUGUGUAUGUAUUGAGGUCACAUCCCAGAAAUGUGUGGCUUGGAUGGAGUCUGAAGAUGGAAACUGGG